AUUUCCUCUGGUUACAAUCCAUGAUGCUACCAUAAUAUUUGAACGCCCAACAUCAUGUGCAUGGGGCAAUAAACCAGGCCCUUACUACACAUUUGUUGCCCCCUAUCCUGGCUGGGAUAUCCAGCCAGUUCCCAGACAUGAAAUGUCUGAAGUGUACCAUCUUCAUAUUAACUAAAGGCAAGCAUGGUACUGGUGGAGAUCACCUGGGCAUCCUUGGGCUUGGAGCACAGCACUGCACAGUGUUCCAUAUGGGAGAGAAGAUGGCGGACUGCUAGGUGGACGUCUUUUCGACAGCUCCGUAAUUUAUUCUCCCACAGUAUCACGCCAGACCUGACCGCAGAGCUUCAUCAACAGAAUCUAUUUAUGAGUCUGGCUUCUUCCGCACAUUCCAUUAUGCAAGAAACAGCACCCACUGCUCUGUUACGCUGGAAUUAAGUUAUGCAGCCAAGUCACAUUCCCAAACCCAGGUGCCAAUGUGGAACAGUGAACAAGAGUGCUAGACUUGGCUCAGAGCAACCCGGGGUCAAAUUUCUAUUCAGCUAUUAAGCUCUUUGGGUGUCCCUGGGGGCCAAUCAAUAUUGUGCAGCCUGGCCUACCUCACAGUGUUGUUCUAAGGUUAAAGUGGGAUGACCAUCAUGUGCAACACUCCAUGGAAGAAGAGUGGCAAAACUGAAAUAAAAUACGGCAAUUUAUGAAUUCUAUGUUAAUCCAGAAAUAAACAGCAUAGGUUAUCCAGCUAAAAGCUCCAUCACAGACUCAACCUCAUUCUUAAAAUGAGUGUGUGUGUGUGUGUGUGUGUGUUGCGUGGAAACCUACCAUUCUCUGAUUAAGCAGUUAAAACAAUCUCCAAAAUACACAAACUUUCGGAAUCACUAAAUUGCAUCUAGAACCACAGCCUUUUCUGCCUCUUUGCAGUCAAGUGCUACAACUAUGAAGCCUUGCUUGUAAGCAGGCACUCACUUGAUCAUCUGUAGAAAGUAAGAAUUGAUUCCAAGUGAUCUAGCAGGAAAACAAAGACCUAGCUUUUUUCUUUUCUUGUAAGCUAUUGAUGUCCUACUAUUUUACAAGGCACGUGGGCUAGCAGGCAACUUUU